AUUGGCCGAAGCGCAGGGGGUUGGGCUGGGCUGCUGACCGCACCUGGCCGGGAGCGAGAGCCUGCAAGGAGGCCGCUGUGGCGGCGGCAGAGGGGCAGGAACAUGGACCAAGCCUGGAGGACCGCGGAGGCCCGGCGGGUGCACCCCGCCGCCCAGUGAGUGAGCGAGCGCCCGGGCGGCACGCCCACCCCGAGCCAGCCACGCUGAGCCCGCGGAGAACCAGGCCAAGGUGCCUGAGAUGCUACCACUGCCAAAGAAG
rnacentral:lncRNA from 1 species